rnacentral:rRNA from 1 species
CGGGAAGAGCUCAAAUUUGUAAUCUGGCCCUUUCAGGGUCCGAGUUGUAAUCUCGAGAAGUGUUUUCCGCGUCGGACUGCAUACAAGUCUAUUGGAAUAUAGCGUCAUAGUGGUGAGAGCCCCGUAACUGAUGCAGAUGCCCGAUGCUUUGUGAUACACUUUCGAAGAGUCGAGUUGUUUGGGAAUGCAGCUCAAAUUGGGUGGUAAAUUCCAUCUAAAGCUAAAUAUUGGCGAGAGACCGAUAGCGAACAAGUACCGUGAGGGAAAGAUGAAAAGCACUUUGGAAAGAGAGUUAACAGUACGUGAAAUUGUUGGAAGGGAAACGCUUGAAAUCAGACUUGCUAUUCGGAAUUCAGCCGCAAGGUGUACUUUUCGAUUUGCAGGCCAGCAUCAGUUUUUGGGGGUGGAAAAGGGUGGAGAGAAGGUAGCAACCCCGGUUGUGUUAUAGCU